GACGAACGCUGGCGGCGUGCCUAACACAUGCAAGUCGAGCGGGGUUGAGGCGAGAGGUAACUCGAACUUCUACCUAGCGGCGGACGGGUGAGUAACGCGUGGGCAACCUGCCUCAAGGUUUGGGAUAACAGCCCGAAAGGGCUGCUAAUACCGGAUAUGCCUAUGGCCUCGCAUGGGGCUAUGAGCAAAGGGGAAACCCGCCUUGAGAUGGGCCCGCGUCCCAUCAGCUAGUUGGUGAGGUAACAGCUCACCAAGGCGACGACGGGUAGCCGGCCUGAGAGGGUGACCGGCCACACUGGGACUGAGACACGGCCCAGACUCCUACGGGGGGCAGCAGUGGGGGAUCUUGCACAAUGGGCGAAAGCCUGAUGCAGCGACGCCGCGUGAGCGAAGAAGGCCUUCGGGUUGUAAAGCUCUGUCUGGAGGACGGAAGGAAGUGACGGUACCUCCGGAGGAAGCCACGGCUAACUACGUG
rnacentral:rRNA from 1 species